rnacentral:lncRNA from 1 species
UAAUGCAUUUUCUAUAAUCUAGUAAAUCAUGCAGGACAAUGUUUACUCUUCUCACUGCAACUUCUCCUCUAAACAGUAAGUCAGAACGUGGAACGAGGGGCGGGGGGGACAACUCACGCUUCUAACAUUUGUGUCAAACUAAGUCAGUAAAAGGGAUGGUAUAGUACGUUAAAAGUCUCUUCUAUAACAUGAUACAUUAUUGUAGGACAACAAAAUAUACAUGGACAAUCUGUCCGUAAUAAAUGGAGUAGUUGUCUUCACGUGCUUGCAUGUCUUUGUGUAAU